AGGGACAGAGAUAAUAGAGAGACCUCCAUUAGAGUGGCUGUAAAUCCUCUUAUAAUGUGAAAUAAUUCAUGUCAUUUAAUAUUUUAUUGUAAAAUGCUGAAGCUGGAAUAUGAAAUAUAAAACAACACGUCAACAAGAACCAACCGCUGCGUCUCAUUGGUGUAUUUAUUUUAUUCAUGUGAUUUGAUUGGUUGAUUGAAAUGUAUCUUCUUGAAUCCUAAGCAACCUGCCUACACAUAGUUUGAAGUAGAAACACCAACAUAGAUACUGUAGUGGGUCAAAGCUGUGAGCUGGAAAACCUUGGUGGAGCAUGGGUGCAAUACCAACGUCUGUUCUCCCUUAAAACAUGGGUGCAAUACCAACGUCUGUUCUCCCUUAAAACAUGGGUGCAAUACCAACGUCUGUUCUCCCUUAAAACAUGGGUGCAAUACCAACGUCUGUUCUCCCUUAAAACAUGGGUGUAAUAAUGUGUGGACCUCAGACAUUUGCUCGUUGUUCCAUAGUUUUCUCGUCUUCUGAAACAAGUCCCAGCUACCUACCAGCUCUUAUUCAUCAAUGUAUCAGAUUAAAGAACCUUUCAUAUAAAAUACUUUCAUCAUCUUAAAAAUGGUUAAAUAUAUGUUUAAUUAACUAGGGCAAGUCAGUUAAGAACAAAUUCUUAUUUACAGUGACGACCUACCGGGGGAACAGUGAGUUAACUGCUUUGUUCAGGGGGCAGAACAACAAGAUGUUUCAGCUCUUGUCAGCUCGGGGCCACUUCGGCUAGUCCAACGCUCUAACCACUAGGCUACCUGCCAACCCCAACGUAUAAUAUAGUAUCAGCUUUCAUAUAAAACACGAUCAUCAAUAUCAACAUAUAAUAUAGUUUUAUAGUCGUUGUUCCGGAAGCUUCUUAUAGUACCAGCGUUGAUAUAUAAAUGUCUAAAUAUGGUCGUCGUACGGUUAGUCACAUGUUAGUCGUUGUUCCGGAAGCUUCUUAUAGUACCAGCGUUGAUAUAUAAAUGUCUAAAUAUGGUCGUCGUACGGUUAGUCACAUGUUAGUCGUUGUUCCGGAAGCUUUCGUAUUUAUUUACCUUUCCCGUAGCGGAAACAGGUAACUGCCAGAAUAACGGAAACACGUGGAGUUGACGAGGGAUACGGAGUAUAUUGAAAGCAGGUGCUUCCACACAGGUGUGGUUCCUGAGUCCAUUAUUAAGCUAUCAACAGCCCCAUAUCUCCUGAGGAUCAUGUGUCGGCAUGCUGGGCGGGCCAUUAUCUGCGUUACCAUGGCUACGCCCCCCAUCCACCAGAUCUCAACCCCCCCAAACGGAACACUUAUGGGAGAUUCUGGAGCGAUCCAGACACUUGCAGAAUCUAUACCAAGGAGCACCGAAGCUGUUCUGAGGGGCCUGUAACGGACCAACCAAGGAGCACCGAAGCUGUUCUGAGGGGCCUGUAACGGACCAACCAAGGAGCACCGAAGCUGUUCUGAGGGGCCUGUAACGGACCAACCAAGGAGCACCGAAGCUGUUCUGAGGGGCCUGUAACGGACCAACCAAGGAGCACCGAAGCUGUUCUGAGGGGCCUGUAACGGACCGACCAAGGAGCAUCGAAGCUGUUCUGAGGGGCCUGUAACGGACCGACCAAGGAGCACCGAAGCUGUUCUGAGGGGCCUGUAACGGACCAACCAAGGAGCACCGAAGCUGUUCUGAGGGGCCUGUAACGGACCAACCAAGGAGCACCGAAGCUGUUCUGAGGGGCCUGUAACGGCCCAACCAAGGAGCACCGAAGCUGUUCUGAGGGGCCUGUAACGGACCAACCAAGGAGCACCGAAGCUGUUCUGAGGGGCCUGUAACGGACCAACCAAGGAGCAUCGAAGCUGUUCUGGCUCCUGGUCGUCCAACGUCCUGUUAAAAACACUUGAUGUUGGUGUUUCCUUUAUUCAGUUACCUGCAUCUUCAAUACUCUAAUAUAUAAUCACAUAAUCAUAUUUAAAACACAACGCUUUUAUCCACAUUUUACAUACAGGUGGUCCCGUCUGGGUGCAUCCCAUAGGACACCCUAUUCCCUACAUAGCGCACUACUUUAGACCACUAGGUAGGGAAUAGGGGGACAUUUUGACAACUAGGUAGGGAAUAGAGGGCCAUUUUGACCACUAGGUAGGGAAUAGGGGGCCAGUUUGACCACUAGGUAGGGAAUAGAGGGCCAGUUUGACCACUAGGUAGGGAAUAGGGAUCCAUUUUAACCACUAGGUAGGGAAUAGGGGGCCAGUUUGACCACUAGGUAGGGAAUAGGGGGCCAGUUUGACCACUAGGUAGGGAAUAGGGGGCCAGUUUGACCACUAGGUAGGGCAUAGGGGGCCAGUUUGACCACUAGGUAGGGAAUAGGGGGCCAUUUUGACCACUAGGUAGGGAAUAGGGGGCCAGUUUGACCACUAGGUAGGGAAUAGGGGGCCAGUUUGACCGCUAGGUAGGGAAUAGGGGGCCAUUUUGACCACUAGGUAGGGAAUAGGGGGCCAGUUUGACCACUAGGUAGGGAAUAGGGGGCAUUUUGCAAGUAGCCUAUAUCUCUGUAAAUACAUUCCAUGUAGCUCUCAUUCAAUCAAUCUCCACCUGUCAUACAGUCACAAAUUAACUAUUUAGUCUAGCUCUAACCUGAGAGAGAGAGAGAGAGAGAGAGAGAGAGAGAGAGAGAGAGAGAGAGAGAGAGAGAGAGAGAGAGAGAGAGAGAGAGAGAGAGAGAGA
ensembl:lncRNA